rnacentral:rRNA from 1 species
GCAGCAAGGAAUUUUGCGCAAUGCGCGAAAGCCUGACCCAGCAACGCCGCGUGAGGGAUGAAGGCCUUCGGGUCGUAAACCUCUUUUCUCAGGGAAGAAAAAAAUGACGGUACCUGGGGAAUAAGUCUCGGCUAACUACGUGCCAGCAGCCGCGGUAAUACGUAGGAGGCGAGCGUUAUCCGGAUUUAUUGGGCGUAAAGAGAGCGUAGGCGGUUUGUCAAGUCGGAUGUGAAAUCUCCCGGCUCAACUGGGAGGAGUCAUUCGAUACUGAUGGGCUAGAGUGCAGCAGGGGAAAACGGAAUUCCCGGUGUAGUGGUGAUAUGCGUAGAUACCGGGAGGAACACCAGAGGCGAAGGCGGUUUUCUAGGCUGUUUCUGACGCUGAGGCUCAAAAGCGUGGGGAGCGAACAGGAUUAGAUACCCUGGUAGUCCACGCCGUAAACGAUGACACUAGGUAUAGCGAGAGCAACUAUAUUUGCC